rnacentral:rRNA from 1 species
UACGUAGGGUGCAAGCGUUGUUCGGAAUCAUUGGGCGUAAAGCGCGUGUAGGUGGUUUGUUAAGUCGGGUGUGAAAUCCCUGGGCUCAACCCAGGAAGUGCAUUCGAAACUAGCUGACUUGAAGAUGGUAGAGGAAGGUGGAAUUCCAAGUGUAGAGGUGAAAUUCGUAGAUAUUUGGAGGAAUACCGGCGGCGAAGGCGGCCUUCUGGACCAUUCUUGACACUGAGACGCGAAAGCGUGGGUAGCAAACAGG